rnacentral:rRNA from 1 species
GGGGAAUAUUGGACAAUGGGGGCAACCCUGAUCCAGCCAUGCCGCGUGUGUGAAGAAGGCCUUCGGGUUGUAAAGCACUUUAAGCGGGGAGGAAGGCCUGAUGGCUAAUAUCCAUCGGGAUUGACGUUACCCGCAGAAUAAGCACCGGCAAACUUCGUGCCAGCAGCCGCGGUAAUACGAAGGGUGCGAGCGUUAAUCGGAAUUACUGGGCGUAAAGCGCGCGUAGGUGGUUAAGUAAGCGAUCUGUGAAAGCCCCGGGCUUAACCUGGGAACUGCAGGUCGAACUGCUUGGCUAGAGUAUGGUAGAGGGGUGUGGAAUUUCCUGUGUAGCGGUGAAAUGCGUAGAUAUAGGAAGGAACAUCAGUGGCGAAGGCGACACACUGGACCGAGACUGACACUGAGGCACGAAAGCGUGGGGAGCAAAC